AGAGCCUCAAGCACUUCAGUUCAACAAUGGAAUAUAUAUAUAUGUGUGUGUGUGUGUGUGUGUGUGUGUGUGUGUGUGUGUGUGUGUGUAUACACACACACACACACACACACAUAUAU
ensembl:miRNA Gm22646 predicted gene, 22646